rnacentral:misc_RNA from 1 species
GAUUGUGUGCGGUAUGAUUCUUCAUCAUCACCACUGAAAACCCUAACGCCGGCGGCAGUUUGAUUGUGAGAUCGAAGAUCAGAAAUGGCCAAGUCGAAGAAUCAUACCGCACACAAUCAGUCCUACAAGGCUCACAGGAACGGAAUCAAGAAGCCAAAGAGUCACCGUCACAGCUCCACCAAAGGGAUGGAUCCCAAAUUCUUGAGGAACCAGAGGUAUGCUAGGAAGCACAACAAGAAGAACGGUGAAACUGCCGCAGAAGAAUAGACUUAAGCUUAGAGCAAUAGGGGCUUUCUGGAUUUCUAUUUAUCGCUGUUACUGUUAUCCCAACCUUUGGGUUUUCAAUUUUGUUUGUUAUGGGGAUAUAGUUGCUACUUAUGUGAACUAGUAUUUCAUGAUUUCGUCGAGUAUGAAAACCAAUUUUAC